rnacentral:rRNA from 1 species
UACGUAGGUGGCAAGCGUUGUCCGGAUUUAUUGGGUUUAAAGGGUGCGUAGGCGGUCCCAUAAGUCAGUGGUGAAAUACUCUAGCUUAACUAGAGGGGUGCCAUUGAUACUGUGGGACUUGAGUAGAGUUGAAGUGGGCGGAAUUGACGGUGUAGCGGUGAAAUGCUUAGAUAUCGUCAAGAACACCGAUAGUGAAGACAGCUCACUAAGCUCAAACUGACGCUGAGGCACGAAAAGUGUGGGGAUCAAACAGG